AUCNUNNAGAUAGCCAGCAUGUCUAGUACAUGCCGUAUUAAGGCGAAACCGCGAAUGGCUCAUUAAAUCAGUUAUGGUUCCUUGGAUCGUACCUUACUACUUGGAUAACUGUGGCAAUUCUAGAGCUAAUACAUGCAGCAGAGCUCCGACCUUCGGGGACGAGCGCUUUUAUUAGACCAAAACCAAUCGGACUUCGGUCCGUAAACUGUGGUGACUCUGUAUAACUUUGGGCUGAUCGCACGGGCCCGUCCCGGCGACGUAUCUUUCAAGUGUCUGCCUUAUCAACUUUCGAUGGUAGGUUACGCGCCUACCAUGGUCGUAACGGGUAACGGGGAAUCAGGGUUCGAUUCCGGAGAGGGAGCCUGAGAAACGGCUACCACAUCCAAGGAAGGCAGCAGGCGCGCAAAUUACCCACUCCCAGAACGGGGAGGUAGUGACGAAAAAUAACAAUACGGGACUCUUUUGAGACCCCGUAAUUGGAAUGAGUACACUCUAAAUCCUUUAACGAGGAUCCAUUGGAGGGCAAGUCUAGUGCCAGCAGCCGCGGUAAUUCUAGCUCCAAUAGCGUAUAUUAAAGUUGUUGCGGUUAAAAAGCUCGUAGUUGGAUCUCAGUUCCAGACGGGCGGUCCACUUACCGGUGGUUACUGCUUGUUCUGAACAGCCAGCCGGUUUCUCUUGAUGAUCUUCACCGGUUGUCUUGGGUGACCGGCAAGUUUACUUUGAAAAAAUUAGAGUGCUCAAAGCAGGCGCGACGCCUGAAUAAUGGUGCAUGGAAUAAUGGAAUAGGACCUCGGUUCUAUUUUGUUGGUUUUCGGAACACGAGGUAAUGAUUAAGAGGGACAGACGGGGGCAUUCGUAUUGCGACGCUAGAGGUGAAAUUCUUGGACCGUCGCAAGACGACUAUGAANUUUUUUUNUNUGAAAAAAAAAAA
rnacentral:rRNA from 1 species